rnacentral:rRNA from 1 species
CGUAGGUAACCUGCCUGGUAGCGGGGGAUAACUAUUGGAAACGAUAGCUAAUACCGCAUAAGAGUAGAUGUUGCAUGACAUUUGCUUAAAAGGUGCAAUUGCAUCACUACCAGAUGGACCUGCGUUGUAUUAGCUAGUUGGUGGGGUAACGGCUCACCAAGGCGACGAUCGGUAGCUGGUCUGAGAGGACGACCAGCCACACUGGGACUGAGACACGGCCCAG